UACGUAGGGCGCAAGCGUUGUCCGGAAUUAUUGGGCGUAAAGAGCUCGUAGGCGGCUUGUCACGUCGGGUGUGAAAGCCCGGGGCUUAACCCCGGGUCUGCAUUCGAUACGGGCUAGCUAGAGUGUGGUAGGGGAGAUCGGAAUUCCUGGUGUAGCGGUGAAAUGCGCAGAUAUCGGGAAGAACACCCGUGGCGAAGGCGGUUCUCUGGGACGGUACUGACGCUGAGACGCGAAAGCGUGGGGAGCGAACAGG
rnacentral:rRNA from 1 species